GCUGUAGCGCCGCGGUAGGGCGUCUGCUCAGCAUGCGGAAGAUCUCAAGUUCAAUCCUUGACAUCUGUG